UCUCGAUUAGCUCAACGGUAGAGUGAGCGGCUGUGGCCCGCUAGACCGGGGUUCAACUCCCCGAUCGGGAC
rnacentral:tRNA from 1 species